rnacentral:rRNA from 1 species
UGCCAGCAGCCGCGGUAACACGUACCGGACAAACGUUAUUCGGAACUACUGGGCUUAAAGAGUACGUAGGCGGCCUUGUAGGUGAGAUGUGAAAUCCCACGGCUCAACCGUGGAAUUGCGUUUCAAACCCCAAGGCUUGAGGGAGACAGGGGUGAGCGGAACUGAUGGUGGAGCGGUGAAAUGCGUUGAUAUUGUGAGGAACACCGGUGGCGAAAGCGGCUCACUGGGUCUCUUCUGACGCUGAGGGACGAAAGCUAGGGGAGCGAACGGGAUUAGAUA